rnacentral:rRNA from 1 species
UACAGAGGUCUCAAGCGUUGUUCGGAUUCAUUGGGCGUAAAGGGUGCGUAGGCGGCGCGGUAAGUCGGGUGUGAAAUCUCGGAGCUUAACUCCGAAACUGCAUUCGAUACUGCCGUGCUUGAGGACUGGAGAGGAGACUGGAAUUUCCGGUGUAGCGGUGAAAUGCGUAGAUAUCGGAAGGAACACCAGUGGCGAAAGCGGCUUCCUGGUCCAGCACCGACGUCAGGCACGAAAGCGUGGGGAGCAAACAGG